rnacentral:rRNA from 1 species
CCCUUAGAUGUCCUGGGUCGCACGCGCGUUACACUGAUGCAUUCAACGAGCUUAUAACCUUGGCCGAGAGGCCUGGGCAAUCUUGUUAACGUGCAUCGUGAUAGGGAUAGAUUAUUGAAAUUAUUAAUCUUGAACGAGGAAUUCCUAGUAAACGCAGAUCAUCAAUCUGCAUUGGUUACGUCCCUGCCCUUUGUACACACCGCCCGUCGCACCUACCGAUUGGAUGGUCCGGUGAAGCCUCGGGAUUGUGGUUCUUGCCGCUUUAUUGUGGCGUGACCGCGAGAACUUGUCUAAACCUUAUCAUCUAGAGGAAGGUGAAGUCGUAACA